GUGGCCCUAAAAAGCAAAAAAAGAAAGAAAGGGAGGGAGGAAGGAAGAAAAGAAGGAAGAAAGAAAGAAAUCAACAGAAUCAGGCUCAGAUAUAACCCAGUCAAAUAGGGACAUUAAAAUAACUAUGAUUCACAUGUUAAAGGAUCUAUUCCUUCAGGUGGACACCAUACAUGAACAGAUGGGGAAUAAUUUUUUUAAGUUACACCUUUAUUUUUUAAUUUUUUCUUCUUAUAGUUGAUUUACAAUAUUCUGUCAAUUUCUGCUAUACAGCAAAGUGAUCCAGUCAUUCAUAUAUGUGUGUGUGUGUGUCUCACAUUAUCCUUCAUCAUGUUCAGAUGGGGAAUAAUUUUAGCAGAGAGAAAUUAUAAGAAAGAGUCUUAUGGAGAUGCUGUAAGAAAAAAGUACACCGAAAAUGAAGAAUUUCUUUGAUGAGCUCAGUGAUAAACUCAGCACAGCUGAGGAAUAGAUCCGUGAUUUGCCAAUGGAUUAUGGAUGUGACACCAAAUUACAAUCAACAGAGGGAAAAAAUUGAUAAAUGCGAUUUUACUAAAGUUAAAAUUAAAAAUGUUUGUGCUUUAAAGACUAUCAAAAAAUUAAAAAAAAAAAACAGCUCAUUCAAUGGGAGAAAAUAGUUGCUGCUGGUGGGAUGUAAAAUGGUCCAGCUGCUUCGGAAAAAGUCUGGCAGUUCCUCAGAUGAUUAAAUAUAGAGUUACCAUAUGACCCAGCAAUCUCACUCUUUGGUGUAUACCCAAGUGAAAUGAAAACAUAUGUCCGUGCAAAAAACUUGUAUGCAGAUGCUUCUAGUAGCAUUAUUCAUGAUAGUCAAAAGGCAGAAACAACCCAAAUGUUCAUCAGUGGCCAUAUGGAUAAACAAAUGGUGGUAUAUUCAUAUGGUAGAAUAGUAUUUGGCUAUGAGAAGGAAUGAAGUGCUGGUACAUGCUACUACCUGGAUGGACCUUGAAAACAUACUAAGUGAAAGAAGUCAGUCACAAAAGACCAUACACUAUAUGAGUCUAUUCAUACAAAAUGCCCAGGAUAGGGCAUGUAGAAAUAGAAAGUAGAUUAGUGGUUGCCUAGGGCUGAGGGGGUAGGUAGCGGUAAGUGGGUGACAGCUAACGUGUAAAGAUUUCUUUAUGGGAUGACGGAAGUGUUCUAAAGUUGACUGUUUUGAUUGUUGCAUGUAUCUGUGAAUAUACUUAAAAAAAAAAAAAAGAACCCACCCAAAACAUUGAAUAAUACAUUUUAGGAGUUCGCUUGUGGCUUAGAGGGUUAAUGAUCCAGUGUUGUCACUGCAGUGGCUUGGGUUGCUGCUGUGGUGAAAGUUUGAUCCCUGGCCUGGGAACUUCUGUAUGCCAGGGGUGCAGCUAAAAAAAAGAAAAAAGCACUUCAGCUGGAUGAAUUGUAUGACACCUGAACAAUAUAUCAAUAAAUCUGUUUAAAAAUAUAUGUUGGUAAAGUCUCACAAUUCUUCGGGUGUGUAAGCUGUUUCUCUGGAGUCCUGUCCCUCUGGAAAAUGCUGAGAUCUGACCUAGUUAAGGAAGUGUUAUUGUGGGUCUUAGGUGUUCCCUUUCAAAGCACCUGCCCCAGGUAAAAUUAUCACAGUGUUUUUAGAUAAAGAAGUCUGUUCUUCUCAAACAUAGGUGGGCAAGCUACUUCCAUGGACUUGGGAGGGAUGAAGUGACUGCAGGGUUCAAGUUAGUUUCAUUUGGACCCAAAGAGAUAGCCCAUUACAAUUUUCAAGAGCCCGUUCUUUCCCACUGAUGCCCUUCCAUAUGAAAAAUUUAGUGAGACCAUGAAUUCAAAUGAUGUUGAUGAUGUUGUAAUUCAGAAAACUUACAGAGUUAAGUUUUUGUUUGAUUUUAAGUGAUGUUAGUCCAGAGUCUACAAGAAAUGAGAGCUGCUUUAGAGUUGUCAUGGAAGCUUUUCGGUACCGAGACCUUAAGCUGAGAGUUAAAGGACAUGAGUUUGUCAUUUUCUUUUGGUAAACAGUCAAGCAUGCUCAAAAUGAUUCAUCCCACACUACAGUCCUUAUGGUCAUUGAGACUGCCAUAACCAUCAAGCGUGCAGCCACCUGGCCUCCCAAGGCAUGUGCUUCUCUCGUCACUUAACCACAGGUGACAGCAUGAUUAAUUGCAAUGUCACUGCAUGCCAUACAUUACCACCAUCUCAUUUCCUAUUGGCAGGUAGUUCAGACCUGCCUUUGAGCCUAAGGGCACAGCCAGCAAAUCUCUAAAUCCCAUCUUUGUGGGAUUAUCUCCUAGCACCACUGUCAGUUCUUUAUUGGUCAAGUUCCAGACAGGAUACAGAAUCAACACAGAAAUUCUAAUGGGGAAAGUUUAUUAUAGAAAAUGAUAAAUAGAAACAUGGAUCCACCUAAGGGGAAAAGAGAACUCUGAACAAAGUGUCUCUCCAGUGCCCUCUACUGACAAAGCUUAAUAUAAUUCCAGGUGGCAAGAGAACUAUUGCAGGAUCACACAAAGGACAGUGAAGGGAGGGUUGAGAGCUAAAAGACAAUGGACUCUGGUCUUUCCAGGAGGCCCCGGACACUUCACUUUGCUCACUGUGGGAUGCCCAGUGUCUGAGGUCCAAAUCCUGAUCCUGGCGAGAGAUCCGAGUGGGAGCUGUGGUGGCGAGGCCCGAGGCUGCAUCUCCGAGGAAGAUUCACUCCUAUAUAUGGUCACCGGGAGUCCCAUCGCUGAGCUAACUGUGACCUAAUGUGCUGACAAUCUCGCCCAGUCUGGGGCCCUGCUUGGGGAGGGCGUUCACCCUGGAGAGAGUGUCUGCUUGGGGACAGAGGGGCUGGGAGAAGGCAAAUCAAUGGUGUGGAGGCAGGGCAAGGACCGGACGUCCCAGACUCAUGACAGCAGAAGGGCGGCUCCGAGUCCUCCCGCCCUACUUGGCCCCUCUGGUCUGUGAAAACGUCUAGCUCCCACGGACACUCUGCGUAAACAAGGAAACCAGGAGCCUCUCUUGCUUUUAAGAGUCCUUUUAAUACAGCAUGAAAAGGCUAUAUUUCUAUAGGCAGGCCGUAUACAGAUUCUCCAGGAAUAAGGCACACAACGGAAUGCCAUCCCGAGGGCGGCCCUCGGGAGCGGUCGGGAGCCUCCUCCACGCACCCUCCGAGCUGGCCCACGGGUUCUGUUUGUCUUUCUAGCUGGACACACACAUAUUAACAGAUACAGACAUGGACAGGGUCACCACAUGCGAGUGGAGGACGUCGAGUGAGGUUGGCAACAGAGAGCGAUGAAUUCCCCAAGGCUGGACGCCUCCCAGAUUUCAGGGUUAGCUGUCGCUCUGGGCUGUGAUGUAGUGAUGCUGGGUUAAAUAUUCAUUUCGAGUAGAUUCAAGUCCAUUAGAUGGUGGAGGGCAGGGGGACAAAUCCAAGUUCAAAGAGCAUGGGGACCUGGGACAUGGCUCAGAUGGCAAAGCUCCAAAAGGAACGGUGUGAAGUCUGUCUUCCUCUUCCCUCUUUGGGCUGUUCUGACCGGAAGCCCUGGAUCAGGCCAAGGAGGCCAUCUUUGGAGCUGGCCAACCAUAGAGGGGCUAAUCAGUCACAUGCCCCCUGUUCCCCUAGCUCACUCCUGCCCCCCCACAAGAUUAAUAACCAUAAUAACAAGAUAAUAAUAAGAAGGUGCAAGAGAAUGGAUUAUAGUGCUGUGUUAUCCUCAGCUGAAGAGGCUCAAAGAGCUUCCCAUUCCCUUUUUCACUAAGUAUCUAAUAAUAGCUUCCCUCCAAAAAGGCAAUACUUUCCAAAAUACACAUAUGUAUAAAUACAGGACAGGAACAUAUUAAUAAGUAUAAGCACUUGAAUAAUAUGCUGACUACUUAAUACUGAUAUUUUCAUCCAAGGCAAACAAGAGAGAAUAACAAUAAUAUGGCUUAAAGAAUUGCAAAGAUUUUUUUUUUCCUCAUCAGAAUUAUGUACCAACUUCAUAUAAUAUUCUAUGUAGACAAUAUUUCCUUAAUGUAAUUCAGUUGCAGACUUUUUACAGACCAAAGCAUAGUAAAAAAUCAAACCAAAAAAAAAAAAAACAGGAAAAAGA